AUGAGCGUUGUCAGGAGUACCAGCUCCAUGAAAGUUGCCAGGAAUACUAGCUCCAUGAGUGUUGCCAGGAGUACCAGCUCCACGAACACCACCAGGUGUAUCGGCUCCAUGAACAUUGUCAGGAGUACCAGCUCCAUGAAUGCUGCUGUGAUUAUGGGUACUGCAAACGGUGCUGUUACCUCCGUGGCUGAAGCCUGCAUGAAGGCUGCCUAUUCAUGUUAUAUUUGUUUUCUUUUUAAAUGUGUCCAGUCGGAGGUUAUUUUGACUCAGCCAGAGGCAAAGACUGGCCGUGCCAGCGACACCCUGAAACUGACCGGCAAAAUCAGUGGGUUCGAUCUUGGCAGCUCCUGGAUGUAUUGGGUCCGACAAGUUCCCGGACAGGGUCUGGAGUGGCUGGUUAGCAACUAUACUGCAUCUAGCAAUUACUAUGCCUCGGCGAUGAGGGAUCGGUUUACUGCGUCCAAAGACACUUCAAACAACAUCUUCGCGUUGGACAUGAGUAACCUGAAGAUCGAAGACACCUUUGCAGCAAUAAUACCAUUGGAGCCAUCAGUGCCUGUCCUCCUGCCACUAACAGAAGAAAUCUCCGCACAGAGGUUACUCUCCCUCACCUGUUCAGUGAGAUGUUUCUCCUCACGAGAGGUCUUUGUCAAGUGGACAAACAAUGACAAGCCUGUGAAUCCCAGUGACUACAAGAACACCGAGGUGAUGGCAGAGAGCCACAACACCUCCUUCUUCAUGUAUAGCCUGUUAACCAUUACAGCGGAGGAGUGGGGCAGAGGUGCUUCUUACUCUUGUGUGGUGGGACAUGAAGCGAUCUCAUUGACUGUUCUGUUGAUGAUCUUCAAUAAUUCCAGCGGUAAACCGAGUUUUGUGAACAUUUCACAUGCACUGAUGGACACUGUUAAUUCAUGUCAAUAAAAAUCCCAAAGUUGCAUUUAAUAAUUCAACAAAAGUAAUAAAGAUGUUUUCCUUCAA